UGAGAGUUUAAGAAAUUCUUGACGAAGAUUGAGCUGUCUUUAUCGUUUUUUCGGAUAUCAUGGAGCAGAAAUGAGUGUAGGGAGAGACCACUUACUCGUUCCAGGGGUCUGUUACAGCAGAUAGCUCUCCACAAUCGUAGAAAAUCCGACCUUUUUCCGUUUUGCCAGGAGAGCGUAUCCCUGAAAAAAAGAUUAGAACGACUCAAAAGAUUGAAUUACCGAAACACAUUCCAGUCGAAGUUAGCUCUCCAUAUUACGUACGCUUCAAUUUGCCGAGUUUGCAUUAUGGCGGAGUUAAUAAUAUUAGUGGACUACAGGUUUUGUUAAAAAAUCAAACAUCCGCAAAGUUUUUCAAUCAAAUGAUUUACAACGGUGUUUCAGUC